CCAAACAGACCUGCAUAUCACAAGAACUCCACAAUGAGCUCUUCCAUGAUCGCUGUAACAUUACUGUUUUCAACCUUAUUGGGUAAGAGUGUUGGAAACUCUAUUACCCCAGUCACUGCAGUAAAGUAUGCAACAGAAGGAGAAAAUGUUGAGCUCACCUGCAAGUACGAUGGAACAGACUACGGUCUGCACUGGUAUCGCCAAUUCUCUUACACAGUGCCACAGUUUCUCAUUCUGGAAUAUCGAGGCUUCAUAACCAAUGCAACUCCUCCUGUUGUUGGGAUAUCAAUGAAACAUGACAAGACAGCGCAGCAAGUUUCUCUGGAGAUCUCAUCUGCUAAAGUGUCAGACUCUGCUGUCUACUACUGCGCCCUGCAGCCCACAGUGUCAGGAAACCCAGCUGUGCCCAACAAAAACCCUCACAGCUAA